GAUGAACGCUGGCGGCGUGCCUAACACAUGCAAGUCGAACGGAAAGGCCCAAGCUUGCUUGGGUACUCGAGUGGCGAACGGGUGAGUAACACGUGGGUGAUCUGCCCUGCACUUCGGGAUAAGCCUGGGAAACUGGGUCUAAUACCGGAUAGGACCACAUUUUGGAUGGUGUGGUGGAAAGUUUUUCGGUGUGGGAUGAGCUCGCGGCCUAUCAGCUUGUUGGUGGGGUAAUGGCCUACCAAGGCGUCGACGGGUAGCCGGCCUGAGAGGGUGUACGGCCACAUUGGGACUGAGAUACGGCCCAGACUCCUACGGGAGGCAGCAGUGGGGAAUAUUGCACAAUGGGCGCAAGCCGGAUGCAGCGACGCCGCGUGGGGGAUGACGGCCUUCGGGUUGUAAACUCCUUUCGCUAGGGACGAAGCGUUAUGUGACGGUACCUGGAGAAGAAGCACCGGCUAACUACGUG
rnacentral:rRNA from 1 species